rnacentral:misc_RNA from 1 species
UCAACUAAGAUAUAAUAUCAAUGGCUUUCUCAGAAGUAUUACUAUGAUGGGUAUGAAUCUGAAAGAGCAGCUGCUUCGCAAUAAUUUUCCUACGUAAUACGGUGGCUUAGUGGUCAUCCUCAGUCAGAAGGAACGUCGCUUCUCGCUGGACGCAUACCCAUAAUAGUAGUUUCUCAUGUUUUUACCAAAUGAAAAUCCAAAGUACCUUAACAGACAGCCCCAACCAAUCAACUCAAUUGUGAAAAAUUUACAUAAAAAAUUAUUACUAAACAAUGGCAAAUCCGACUCUACCUAGUAGAUCCUAUGGAACCCUAUUGCACCAGCCGGCUUUUCUUUGAUUGGCUCUUAAAGAUUGAAUAAAAACAGGCCAGAAUUUUCUGUUCGACCCUCUGAUUUCAAUAAUAAUGGACUAAUUAAAAUAAACCCAAAAAGAUUGGGUCUUGACUCUUGAGGGAGAGAGAAGGUAUUAGGACGAUAAUAGAGAGAGAGAGAGAGAGUUUUACGUGGUUUGACAAUUGUAUUUACGUCCAUGGAUAGUUGCUUGCUUUUUAAUUAUCCCCCUUUUUGGAAAUUAGAAGUUUACAAGAAUUUAAUUCAAUUGA